AGGAGACUAUGCCAUUUGCCGAAUUAUGGAUAUAUUAAGUAACUAAUUGCUAAUAGUGAGAGUGUAGUGCAUCCUUGCAUAACGGCACUUGGAUUUCACACUGCAGGCAUAAUAAAUAAUUACUUUUUUUUGGUACUAAAGCAACGUACGUUCUUUGUUUUUCUGCGUACGACGUGUACAAUUCCCUUGCAAAACUAAGGUUCGCUUGUUCAAUUGCUA